UAAAAGUAAGCCAUGAAAAACAAAAAUCUUGAAUCAAAAAUUCGUUAUUUGAACAACAAUAAAUACAAUCAAUAAAUGUGGUGAAACGAAAAAUACAAAAUUAAAACAAAAAUUAAAUUUCCUGGUUCAAAACUAAACAUUUUUUCUAAAAUUACAGUCUCGAUUUAGGAAAAAACAACAAAGAAUAUCUAUAGUUUCUAAACUUUUCGAUCUUAAGAAAAUCUUUUAAAAUUCUGGAAAAAGUAUUACAAUCUUUAAGCACCGUUAUGGGAUUCGAAUUCUUGAUAGAAGAUUGAAUAUUUAUCAAAGUCAAAAGCUUGACUCGUAUUUUCAAAACGUGAGCCGUAAAAAAACAGAUUUGGUGCACGAUUUCAAAAUAAAAGUGCAAAACCAAGAAUAAAAAUACUAAAUAUAAGAAAAUACAAAAAUUAUUGGGAAAUCAAAGUCUCAAAUUAAGAAUGUUUGAUCAUAAUUUAGGAGUUUUCCUGUCUGGAUUUAAUGUUGGCUUAUUCCAUUUUUUAAUUAAGAACAUAUACUUGAAUUGAGAAUGUUUCUUAUCCGCAACAUAAUAAGAUUUCCUAUUCUACUA